UCCGUGAUAGCUCAACGGUAGAGCAGGUCGCUGUUAACGACAAGGUUCUAGGUUCGAAUCCUAGUCGCGGAGCCA
rnacentral:tRNA from 1 species